rnacentral:rRNA from 1 species
AUUGAACGCUGGCGGCAUGCCUUACACAUGCAAGUCGAACGGCAGCACGGGAGCAAUCCUGGUGGCGAGUGGCGAACGGGGUGAGUAAUAUAUCGGAACGUGCCCAGUCGUGGGGGAUAACGUAGCGAAAGCUACGCUAAUACCGCAUACGAUCUAUGGAUGAAAGCGGGGGAUCGCAAGACCUCGCGCGAUUGGAGCGGCCGAUAUCAGAUUAGGUAGUUGGUGAGGUAAAGGCUCACCAAGCCGACGAUCUGUAGCUGGUCUGAGAGGACGACCAGCCACACUGGGACUGAGACACGGCCCAGACUCCUACGGGAGGCAGCAGUGGGAAUUUUGGGACAAUGGGCGCAAGCCUGAUCCAGCAAUGCCGCGUGCAGGAUGAAGGCCUGGUGUAA